AGUAUACUCCCUCCGUUCCAAAUUACUCGUCACAGAAAUGGAUGUAUCUAAAAUUAAAAUACAUCUAGAUACAUCCAUACUUGUGACAAGUAAUUUGGAAUGGAGGGAGUAGAAU
rnacentral:pre_miRNA from 1 species